rnacentral:rRNA from 1 species
UACGGGGGGGGGCAAGCGUUGUUCGGAAUUACUGGGCGUAAAGAGCGCGCAGGCGGUCGUUCAAGUCGCGUGUGAAAGCCCCCCGGCUCAACUGGGGAGGGUCACGCGAUACUGGUCGACUCGAAGGCAGGAGAGGGUAGUGGAAUUCCCGGUGUAGUGGUGAAAUGCGUAGAGAUCGGCAGGAACACCCAGGGGGAAACCAGUCGACUGGGCAUCUACUGACGCUGAGGUGCGAGAGCGUGGGGAGCGAACCGG